UAUUGAGUGCAUGGAAUAAUGGAAUACGACCUCGGUUCUAUUUUGUUGGUUUUCAGAACUCCGAGGUAAUGAUUAAUAGGGAUAACUGGGGGCAUUCGUAUUGCGACGUUAGAGGUGAAAUUCUUGGAUCGUCGCAAGACGUAYAUCAGCGAAGGCAUUUGCCAAAGGUGUUUUCAUCAAUCAAGAACGAAAGUCAGAGGUUCGAAGGCGAUUAGAUACCGCCCUAGUUCUGACCAUAAAUAUGUCGAUUAGCGAUMCGCCGAUGUUACUACAAUGGCUCGGCGGGCGGCUUCGGGAAACC
rnacentral:rRNA from 1 species